GUUUAGGGCCAUACCACCCUGCACACACCCGAUUUUGUAUGAUCUCAGAAGCUAAGCAGGGUCAGGCCUGGUUAGUACUUGGAUGGGAGACCACCUGGGAAUACCAGGUGCUGUAGGCU
rnacentral:rRNA from 1 species